AACGAACGCUGGCGGCAUGCCUAACACAUGCAAGUCGAACGAGACCUUCGGGUCUAGUUGCGCACGGGUGCGUAACGCGGGGGAACCUGCCCUUAGGUUCGGAAUAACUCCCCGAAAGGGGUGCUAAUACCGGAUAAUGUCUUCGGACCAAAGAUUUAUCGCCUUUGGAUGGGCCCGCGUUGGAUUAGCUAGUUGGUAGGGUAAAAGCCUACCAAGGCGACGAUCCAUAGCUGGUCUGAGAGGAUGAUCAGCCACACUGGGACUGAGACACGGCCCAGACUCCUACGGGAGGGAGCAGUGGGGAAUAUUGGACAAUGGGCGAAAGGCUGAUCCAGCAAUGCCGCGUGAGUGAUGAAGGCCGUAGGGUUGUAAAGCUCUUUUACCCGGGAUGAUAAUGACAGUACCGGGAGAAUAAGCUCCGGCUAACUCCGUG
rnacentral:rRNA from 1 species